rnacentral:lncRNA from 1 species
GUGAAGACCCAGCCGUGCCUGGAGUAAAUUAAGCCAGCAGCAAAUAAUCCCAAAGCAGGUAAACAUCUAAAAGAAAGGAAUGAAAACAGGUUUUAUUUAUAAAUGCCUCACUGUUGGAACCUGCAUGAAUGAAAGCUGAAUCUCAAAGAUCAGACACGUUGGACUUGGAAUAAUGUCCAUGUUAUGAUUCCAAUCUGUGCCUAAAUCUGAACCACUCAGUUCUUCAUGCUUGUUGGAAUCCUCCUAAAAUUGGAAUUUCCUGGGAGAUAUCCAGUACUUUUUGGGCAAAACAAACAGCCUUUCUUGUAAUAUGCUAUGUCUAGUGCUAACUGAAUUCAAGAAGUUUAUGAGUGUGGGGAAAGUAACUUGAUUUCUUUGCAAACUUACAAAUUUGCUUCAGUUUAAAUUUUGACCAAAAAUUCAUCUCAGGAAUAUGUUUUGGAAUAAUUCUUUGCUAUUAGUUAUAAAUGUGGCAAAUAUUGUUUAAACAAUAAAAUAUUAUUUUAUACAACAAAUUAUGGCAACAAAUUCCUUGUAGUGAUAGAUUUUUUAAAAUCUUUAAAUCAUAGAUAAGGAUUUAUUAUGCUCCAUGUCAAUUAUAUGCAUGUUUGUGUGUAUAUGUGUGUGUAUAUAUAUUUCACUUAAUCUCUGAGAACAGUCUGAAUUUUUAUGUUUCUCUAUUGUAUAUAAUUGAAAAACAUAAGACAAACAAAGAAAUCACUUAUUAGUACGUUGAUAGAUAAACGUGCUUGAUGCCAAAUAUAGACACACAAAAUACACUUAAUUCUUCUGUAAGAACUCUUAAACAUCUAUGAGAAACAUCGUAUCAAAUUGAUUUCCCCCUUUCUCCUUAGUAAAAAAAUCCUGACGUUUUUAGGUUGACACAAUGCCACUCAGCUAAACAAUGACAUUUCCCAGACUCCUUUGUGUUUAAGUGUGG